ACGCAGCUAACGCAUUAAGUUCCCCGCCUGGGGAGUACGGCCGCAAGGCUAAAACUCAAAGGAAUUGACGGGGACCCGCACAAGCGGCGGAGCAUGCGGAUUAAUUCGAUGCAACGCGAAGAACCUUACCAAGGCUUGACAUACACCAGAACACCGUAGAAAUACGGGACUCUUUGGACACUGGUGAACAGGUGGUGCAUGGUUGUCGUCAGCUCGUGUCGUGAGAUGUUGGGUUAAGUCCCGCAACGAGCGCAACCCUCGUUCUGUGUUGCCAGCACGUUAUGGUGGGAACUCAUGGGAUACUGCCGGGGUCAACUCGGAGGAAGGUGGGGAUGACGUCAAAUCAUCAUGCCCCUUAUGUCUUGGGCUUCACGCAUGCUACAAUGGCCGGUACAAAGGGCUGCAAUACCGUGAGGUGGAGCGAAUCCCAAAAAGCCGGUCCCAGUUCGGAUUGAGGUCUGAACUCGACCUCAUGAAGUCGAGUCGCUAAAGAUCGCAGA
rnacentral:rRNA from 1 species